AUUGAACGCUGGCGGCAGGCCUAACACAUGCAAGUCGAGCGGGGUUUUCGGACCUAGCGGCGGACGGGUGAGUAAUGCGUAGGAAGCUGCCCGAUAGAGGGGGAUACCAGUUGGAAACGACUGUUAAUACCGCAUAAUGCCUACGGACCAAAGUGUGGGACCUUCGGGCCACAUGCUAUCGGAUGCGCCUACGUGGGAUUAGCUAGUCGGUGAGGUAAUGGCUCACCAAGGCGAUGAUCUCUAGCUGGUUUGAGAGGAUGAUCAGCCACACUGGAACUGGGACACGGUCCAGACUCCUACGGGAGGCAGCAGUGGGGAAUAUUGGACAAUGGGCGCAAGCCUGAUCCAGCCAUGCCGCGUGUGUGAAGAAGGCCUUCGGGUUGUAAAGCACUUUCAGCGAGGAGGAAGGGGUGUGUGUUAAUAGUACACACCUUUGACGUUACUCGCAGAAGAAGCACCGGCUAACUCUGUGCCAGCAGCCGCGGUAACAC
rnacentral:rRNA from 1 species